UACGUAGGGGGCUAGCGUUGUCCGGAUUUAUUGGGCGUAAAGAGCGUGUAGGCGGCCAGGUAGGUCUGCUGUGAAAACUCGAGGCUCAACCUCGAGACGUCGGCGGAAACCAUCUGGCUAGAGUCCGGAAGAGGAGAAUGGAAUUCCCGGUGUAGCGGUGAAAUGCGCAGAUAUCGGGAAGAACACCCGUGGCGAAGGCGGUUCUCUGGGCAUUACCUGACGCUGAGGAGCGAAAGUGUGGGGAGCGAACAGG
rnacentral:rRNA from 1 species